ensembl:lncRNA
AUGCCUUUCACCCUCUCCUUCUUUUCCCAUUUUGUUUUACUGCCUCCAUGCUGUUCCUCUUUAUUUCCAGUAUUUUAUUUCAAGGAGCCAGUUUGAAGUGCUCUCAGCCCAUCUGCUGGCUUGGGUUCGAACGAGGGCUGGAACAAGACGAGGAGGUUUGGAAGCCACGAGCUAUUUAUAGUGUAUUUGUUCUUUCACAUUGGCACAGAACUUUGUUUAUAGUAUCACCUGCGGUAGAAGCCAAGCCAGGGGACCACAGCUCACUUGAUCUAAAAUUGGCUUUAUUUCUUGCAUUUCUUAACAUAGACCACAUGUGUAUGCCUGCUGCCCGCCAGCGUGUGGUUGGUGCUUGCACACACAGAGCACAAACACCGAGUGCUCAUGAGCGCGCAUAUGAAGCUCCCGAUGAGAGGCUCCCACAGAUGCUAAACAAAGCUGCAAGGAGAAGGGAGCUGUGUGUGUGCGUUGCCACCCUAGAAAGGAACGGAUCCCAAGAGAAAUCUUGAAUGAAAAUUUUUCAUUGCAAUUUCUCCCGUCGGUUUUCAUUUGCUCCAAGUAGUAUUUUCGCCUUGGGUUGGCCUGUUGAAAAACAAUGAUCAUUUUUAUUUUCCUUCUGCAUUAAAUAUUUUUUCUUCCUUUCAAAACAAAACAACAAUUUAAAUUGAAACCCAAAGAAAUCUGUCAUUUUAAAUUGCUGUUUUGACAUAAAAGCAUUUCAUUUAUUUUUCUAGCCAAGAAUCGACAUUUCAAUUUGAACCACGACAAAAUUUUUCAUUUUCUUUCAAAGUAUCAAUUACAAAUGAAAAUAUUUUCAUUUCUUCUCCUCAGAAAGUCAGAAUUUUUCAUGCUUCCAAAAUUGCAGUGAUCAUUUGAUUGGAAGAGCUGAGGUUUAAGCAAAGACAUGAAUUAAACAGCAGAACUGGCAUUCAAUUCUGGAAGCUGGUAAAAAGUGUUUCUGUUUGCAGAGUAGAUGUCCGGGUAGGUUGAGUACAUGUAUGAAUACACUGUAUUUAAUAGGAGUACAUGCGGUCAAAGCUUGCUGUGACCUGCAUAAAAGAGUGCUGUGGAUUGGCUUGGAACAGUUGGGUCAGGAUCCGAAUGACAGGGAAGAUCCACCACACGUGCCAGGACAGUGAGAGCUCAAAGAAUCAGGCCAUGAUUAUCAGAGCUGAGUGAAAGUCAAGAGAGGAAGAGCCUCAAGGAUCGUUCAAAGAUUAUCAGAUCAAGAUCAUCACAUUGUACCAAACGGGCUCUCAGUCCCCUGUGUGGGUACACACACCACGCAUGUAUGGAUUUUAUUUUAUCCCGGGCUGCCACAUGCAUUUGCCAGCCUGGGAGAUGCCUCUCAGAGCACUCCUGAUCACCCCGUGAGCCUGAGCUGGUGCGGAGGAGGGAAGCGGGGAUUUAUGCAGCGUAUAUGGGAAACCCCCACAGGGCCCCUUUGCAGAACUCUGGCUUCCAGGCCGGCUGCCAAGCAUUAACUACAAUACUUGCGCUUGUUUUUGACAACAGCACGCAGGUUGUAUUUCACCCAUUGCUAUUUUGGUUUUGGAGUUAUGGCAGAAAUGUCUCUGGGUGCUGGCCUGGUAUAAGCGGAGUGGGAGAUUUACUCUUAUUGUGUAAUGUCACCUUUCAGUCGGUGCUUGCAGUGAAAAUUAUGGAGUGUCACUUGUUCUUUUUAUUAAAUUUCAAGGCUGUGCACCUCUCGUGUGGGAAGUGUAACUCUGUCCCGCUUCUGCUUCGAGUGGUAGCCUCAGCUGUUGGGCACCUUUUAAAACAUGAAUUCAUCUUUUUUUUUUUUCUUUUUCCUUUCUCUGCUUUUUAUCAAAAUGUUGAGACCAGCAGCAGCCGUUGCCAUGCUCCGAACUGCUGCCUGUGAUGAUGGAUGAGUUUGGCCCCAAAAGCACGGAGAGAUACUGGACUCAGCACAACACAGAUGUUGCAAUGCAGCCAAAUUAAGCUGUUGUGGGAAUGUGCAAGUUGGGCCUUAGUCAGAGUAUCUCAUGCCUGCCUGCCUCGCUGAAAAGCAAGAGCGAAAUAUUAGCAGCUGACCUGGUGGGAUAUACACUUGCCCAAAAUAUUCUGCUCCUGGCUGCAGAUGAACCAGCAUCUGAUCUGCUGUGUGACUUUCCCCAGCAUUUCUGGAGCAAAGGAGUUCUCCUAAAGGAAUCCUGAUGUCUGCAGCCUUCCUAUCACAGAUCUCCAUAAAUCACAGCACAGGAGAUAGUCUAGAGAUGCUAGCUCAUGCUUCUUCCGUAGAC